CUCUCUCUCCUUAUUCUUUUUAUGUCUCGCCAAGCUCUCUCUAUAUUAUUUUAUUUUUAUUUUUAUUUUUCACUAAUAAUAAUAAUAAUAAAGCCCUGUCCCGUAUUAAGUGUUUUAACUCCCGAUCACCGCUACCCUUUCCGAUUGAUCUGAGCCUCAUAACAUAUGUCAGGGCUCUGCCCGACUAAGUUCGUUGGGGUUCUGUCUCGGGACUUUGGGACAAGGUUGAAUUAGGGGUACUAUACUUAACACGGGUGCAUUAUAUAUAUAUAUAUAUAUAGUUCAAAAGUUAUACCCAAAAUUUAUACCAGGAGAUUUUCUAGUUGAACCCUAAAGUUAUAAAGUGGGUCCAUUCUCUUUUCUCACCAUUUUAUUCCUUCUUAUCCCAAACCAUAACAACUCUCACCAAAACUACUAUUUAUUAUUUUAUUUGCCCAAUAGGAAACCCUAAUUGAGACACCCAAGUAAUCCUGCACAACUCCUAAAAUUUUCAGAACAAUCAGAAUUAGGAUCAGGGCCCCUAAAACUCAGGGGGGAGGGGGGUAUUCCCUACUUGACGAUUAUCCACAUAACUCGCUGUAGAAAUCAAAUUUAUCAAGUCCGUCGACUCAUACAAGCUAGUUGGACACGUGGCAAGCCUAUGAUGAAAUGUGGCCCGUCGCGUCACGCGACGCCCCCUAUGGGACCCCUCGCGUCACGCGAGGGGGUCAAAUUUCAGCUAUAAAUAGAAGGGGUUACGAGCAGUUCAGGGGUGUCGAUCAAAAUUCUCAAAAACGAAAUUAGACUACUCUAAUUCGUAAAAUACAUUCACAGUAGCAAGGCGCUGCUACGAUACAGGGUAUUAACUCGAUCGCUGCUACGAUUCAAUAUCCGAUUGAUUUAAACUAUCCGACCGGAUGUUUAAGCGCUAUCCUUUGUCAUUAGUCGUGAUUCCGACAGGAUGUUUUAGUACCACCCGAACUCGGGGAAUACUCUGUCAUUCGUUGUGAAUCCGAUGGAUGUUUAAGUGAUUGCACUUUGUCAUUCGUCGUGAGGGUUUAAUCUCGUGAGUUAUCGUAAAUGCUGUAUUAGUUAAUUACCUAGUUUCGUGUGCAUUAUCGCUUAAAUUAGGUUAUCAGGCUUAUCAGUAGACUAAACACUACCUCAUACACUUACAAUCAAAGUAGAUGCUAAUUCUCAGAAGAAUCUGAAUCAUGAAGCUUGUUAAUUCAAUACUGCAUGCUUAUAAUGUAAUUACAGUAGAUUGGAGUAAGAAUUGGAUCCGGCACUGAAGGACUUCAAGAAGUGGUUAUUUUAUUAAUUAAAUCAAAUUAAGAAAUAUCAUUUUUAUUUAAGCUACCUUUGUAAAACAUGGGUUUAUCCCAUCUAUUAAAUAAAUAAAAUCCGGUGUU
rnacentral:lncRNA from 1 species